UACAUGUGGGGCGAGCGUUGUUCGGAAUUACUGGGCAUAAAGGGUGCGUAGGCGGUCUGAUACGUCUGGGGUGAAAUCCUUCGGCCCAACCGGAGGUCUGCCUGAGAUACGGUCAGACUGGAGUGCGUGAGGGGUGACUGGAACGCGUGGUGUAGCGGUGAAAUGCGUAGAUAUCACGCGGAAGGCCAACGGCGAAGGCAGGUCACUGGCACGCAACUGACGCUGAGGCACGAAAGCGUGGGGAGCAAACAGG
rnacentral:rRNA from 1 species